UUGGGCGUGAGCCCUUCAGUGAAGUAAGCGGGACUACAAAAGUUAGUGCUGACGAACAGGAAUCGGAUAUGAGGCUAUGAGGUUGGAUGAGCAGGCACAUCACUGUAAAGCCCGAAAUUUAGAACCGAAGUAGUAGAUCCGGCAGGAAUUAACUGAGAGCUACUUGU
rfam:Marine metagenome ctg_1101668630645, whole genome shotgun sequence.